AUGUUUAACUUGUAAAUUAGACUUAUAGUAUUAGCAGUGAAAAUUAAGGACCUGACUGAUGGAAAGAAAAAACUAUUUAUUUUCCUUGUUUUGUCCUAGUUCCUUCCUUCCUCUGCCAACAAUCACAGCUCUUUCUUCAAAGGGAACACACAGUUAGCCAAAGCCUGACUUUUCAGUUUUCCUUUUGCAUUGAGCAUAUUCAGCAGUGCAACUCCAGAGCCUUGUUUGCUAGACUCCAAUGACACAUGCCAGUACGGUUUCUUAAAUUAUAUCUCCACUGGUCUAAAUAAAAGGAAAAACAUUAAACAAAAAAGUCUUUUCCCUGAAAUUUUAAAACACAAAUACCAAAAUAUUUACCUUCACUUUUGCAUAAACCAAGGACAGCAUGGCCCAAAUGUAAAGGAGCUAUGGCACAGAUGCAGGUGAACCUGCCUGGGAAGCAUCAGACUUCUGGCUCUGAGCUCUGCUUUAGAAUACAGAGUGGACUACCUUUUGGUGGGCUGCCAAACAGCCAAAUGACCAGAAAUUCCCAGGUAAUAGGGUGGUGCAUUCCACUGAAAUAUGGCAGGACUGAGAUGUCUACAUUGCAAUCAAAGGUCAUGUUUCAAAUUUUCUUCUUUCCCUUAGAGAUGGGUUUCCACAAACAUGGGUUUGGUCCUCAUGGACACUUCCCACAGGCACAAAGCACCAAAGGGCUUUUAGGACUGAGGCAGUGGAAUGUUUUCUCUAGGGCAGUGUGCUACAUCACAGCCCUUUGUAUCGCAUAACUUUUGCUGUUGAUUAAAAUCAGCCUUAUUCCCUAUUCCCAGAGCUGUUGGGCUCUUAACUCCUGACAUCACCUUUGACUCCAUGUUGCCAACUAAAUUAAGACAAAAAGAAAGGUGAGGAGUGUCUGUAGUAUUGGCAAAUGUGAAUAAGUUAUUGUAAUGGUAUUUUUCUCCCUGUGUGUGGCUUUUAUUUGUUAUGUUUUAUUAAUUUCUGCUUUUUGAGUAUCUGAAUGCAGGCAAUAUUCAGUAUUAUAGAUUCAUAUGGCAGCCAAAUAACCACUGGUUAAAAUAUGCGCACAAAAUUCCUCCUCAGUCCAAAUAAUUUUUUCUCUCCAAACAUUUUUUUGUUUCAUUUGACAGAGUAAAUCUUUUAUUCUGCUGCUUUUGGUCACAAGGAGUGUAAGAAGAAAACAAUUAAAUUGUGAGUUAUGUUAGCUAAGAAAUGUCUUCCUUUUCUGUUUUUCAUACCAACACGAACCUGUGACUGCCAAUUUGGAUCAUAAAGGGAAUGGAAGCUGGAACCCUUCUGAAAGUAUGGGAUGGCACAUCCUAAAAAUAGAAGUGCCACAGGUAUGCCUGUCAGCUGGUCAUGGUCAGACCUAUUCCCUUACCUGAAUGAUCUGGCAAUGUUACUUUUUGAGAGAUAUUUAGAGAGAGACAAAGCAGAGAAGGAAAAAACCCAAAUGUAUGGGAUGAUCAGGAGGAAGUAAAUGGAAAUGCUGAUUUUUACAUUUUCUAGUUCUGACUCUGCACCCAGAAGUGGACAACUUGCCAGGAAAAUAUGAUUGCUAGCUCUAAUCAUUCAAAUAUUUGUGAGGAAUGCUGAUUAUAUAACUACCCUGAGUCUGAAAGAGCACAUUUCUUUGAACGGUGCAGCUGAGAUGGACUGGUUAAACAAUAAUAGUAAUUAAUAUAAUUUGCUAAAAAAGGACAUUCAUCCACAAGUGCAUUUUACAUUAGCAAAGGAAAAUUUGCAAUAUCCUACAAUCACAGGACACAAAAUAAAUAGUAAACAACAGUAUUCCAGUUUUUAAAAGCUGGAAAGUCAAAGCCAAAAAAUGUGAAGCUGGCCACACUUUGAAGGCAGUUCCAGGAAAAAAAAUAACCAGGAUCACCGUGUUAUUUUUGUCUUGUGGUAACACUCAGAAGUUCUUUUUCUGAGGCAGCACCCCCAUCAAGAAUAUGUUAGAAAUCUGCAUAAGUUCACAUGAUGCACAGAGUAAGUAAAUAGUUCUGAGCCCACUUACAUAAACAUCUUUGAAAAUUUCAGUCUGAGGUCAGCUAAUGGUAGGAAUCUAUUUUUCCUCUCAAUCUCUCUUUAUUUUAUUCCCAUCUAACACGAUACUAUAGCUUAUGACAUAUGGUCCCUUAAAUUAGGCACUCCAAACCUUGUUCGUUCAUCUCAGUGUGUGGAGCCAAGUUGUCUAUUAAUAGGAAAAACCUUGCCCUGGAAAAAUGUGUGUGCACAAGUCUCUGCAUGAGGGAAAUGAAGGAUAUGCUACAACAGGGAAUAAAAUUAAUUUAAUAUGUAUUACAGAAAGAACCACUCUAAUGUAAUACUGCCAAACAAAGUGGAUAAGUGCUGUUAAAUCUUUAUAUCCAGAAGUGUGGUGCAUUUAGCAACUUGAUGACUGUGUCAUCCAGCAUACUGAGUUUCCAGUCAUCUCCAAGUUCUAAUGGACAACCUCUCCAUAGCUACCUGAGCCCAGAGGGGAAUAAAUCAAGACCACCAGCUAAGAUGUUAUGUAAUUGCCAUGGAUAUGAGCAUCGAAUGACCUCAGGUGCUGUGUCUAAAUGAAAAGAUUUACCCAAAACCAAAAAAAGUUGUAUGUAAAAAGUUACUAUGUCAUUUUUUCUCUUAUAAAAUAGAAAUUUUAAAGGAAUGCUACAAUGAAAAUGCUGACACAAAACAGUGUUAUUAGAAAUAUCCAAUAAAAUUCCCCCCUUUCCAUGCAACUCGCUUAGUGUAAGUUUUUUAAAAAAAAAUCAUUAAAAAUAAUUGUCUUAGGGAAGUGAGUUAUAGACCUUUAUGAUUAUUACUAUGCAAGAAUUAAUAGAUAUAUAUGUAAUAACCAAGGUCUCUUGAUGAUUUCAAUAGCCAUUCCUCUGCUUUUGAAAAAUGCAAUUUUGCAGCAUUCUUCUAUACAUCAUAGCACUGCAGAGAUCAUUUGCCUAGCCCAUCACUUUGGCUGUCAAAUGUAACAUUCUUUUUCUAUCAGAUAUAAGCAGCUUGUCUUCACCUUCAAAGCCUGCACCUCAUCCUACCUAUCAUCUCUCAUUCAGGAUCAAAAAAUAACUUCUUUCACUGAUUAGCCCAUGAUGCCAGCUUCCUUCAUUGACUUCUUAGAUUUUCAGUCACUCAGUUUGAAGUUUUAUCCCAUGCCAUUCCUUAUAUUUGUAAAGUGCUCCUUCAGACAUCUGUAAAGCUACCUCCUUAUCUUCCUUCUAAUCCUGUCUGUGAGGUUCCCCUGCCAUUAUGCCUUCAAAAGAAGUUUCAGAAUUUGGACUGAAUUUGCCUAGUUAUAAUGAGCUGUUGCCAAAAAAAAAAAAAAAUAAAAAGAUUUCUGGAUCAGCUUCAAAUGGAGCAUUCCCAAAGAUCUGAAGGUUGGUAUUUCCUACUCAGAUGCUGCACUGUCAAUUCUACAUGGUUACCAGUCCCUCAUUUUUCAGAGAAUGUUGCCUUGCUGUUGUUGGGCAGAAACAUAUUUCCAUUUGAAAACAUAGGACGAAUAUAAGGGUGAUCUGUCUGGAUUGUAGGAGCAACACAUCUGAAACAAAGAGAGAAUCUAGAGGGUGCCUUGGUCUUUUCUUUCACAUGGCAGGUGUUUAAGAUAUUAUUUUUAUUGAUCAAAGGAAACAGUCUUCCUGCUUCUGGACACAGGCAUAGGAAAUUGUGCUUAUGUGAAAGACUGAUGGGACAUUUUUAGUUUUGGUCACCAGUUUGGCGGGGAGUUGAGGGUAGAAUAUUGCCUUGGCUUGUUCAAAUUUCUGUUGUGGAAAGAAUGAGUGGUCACAGGAAGCAGCAUAUUGCACUGGGUCACCAUCUCAGAUGAGAAGAAGAAUUUUGCUUUAAAGCAAUUACAUUUGCAGCCUGUGGCCUUGAACACUUUGGCAUGGCGUGUUGUGUUUGUAUUCCCAUCUCGAGCAGCAGUGACUCAGGACCAAGUCAUCCCUUUACAGGAAUUACCUACAAAGGAAACUGGAACCUCCACGGCAUCUCUCUGUCAUCCUUCUCUCCAGAUGGUGCCUCUAAAUCCCUUCUGAAGGCGAUUGUGCAAACCAGCAUGUACGUAAGUUCUGUUGGUUUUGAUCUAAGCAUCUCUAAUUAUGGUAGAGAUUUUGUUUCAGGAUGCUGGAAAGGUGCCUGCCUCCUCCUCUCCCUCACCUGUCCCUCCUGGCACUCAGCCCCAGUUCUUCCAUGGCUCCUGAAAAAGCAGGAGGGAACACUUUCCACAAACUCGCCAAUUCAGGUUUUCUUGAGCCUCCUUUCUACAAGGUUUUCAUCCCCCAAUCCAUCAGCAUUUCCAACUGCUGCAGGACCAGCAGGCUCCUCCAUUACUCCACAUGCAGACACUCAGAAACCUUGUGAGCCCUCCAUCACUGCAGAGCAGUUGGGCUCACAUCUCACUCAGCCUGGCUAUAAUCCUCUGAAAAAUACUGUGGUGUUCAAGUGAUUAGACUGUCUUCCAGAGAAGCAGGGACUAGAUCCAAUUUGAAAAUCUUUAACAUAUGGAAUAACCAUUUUAAAAAUACCCUUUUUGAUUACCUUUCCAUAAUUUCUCAGGAGUGGAUCUGAACUUUUAGAAAGUCAUGCAUCAAUGGGAUGUAGAUAGCAAGUCAUAGUCUUGGUCAGAAUUUCAGUCUGAAAACACCCACAGAGUUGUGCAGAUUUUUCAGAAAUUGAAAUCACUUCCAGACCGAGCUUUUUAAACUAAGUUUCAGCAUAAAACUAUUUCUGUAGCCAAACUAUAAACCUCUGAAAAUAAGAGUUUAUGUGGAAAGGCUGAAGCUUUACUUAAAGCACUGCUAAUAUCUAUGGCACUCAAUGAUUUGAUGUUGAAGGCUAUUAAUCCCAAAGAAAACUUUCUUGGAAGAAGUUGAACUUUAGAGGUCAAUGAGAUCUCAGAGGAAGCUGGACUGAAAACAGAAAAGCUGAUUUUGUCCAUGUAAAUCAAUUGUUACUGUUUCCUGUCUGAGAAAAAAAAUUAAUGCAAAUAUUAAGGAUUUAUGAACAGGAAAAGGGAGAACCUCUAAAGGUCUUGUAAGAAGUGAUUAAUAACAUUGGGGUUUUUUUAGAUAAUGCUAUUUUAAAACCAUGUUCAAAAGCCAUGCUGAUGGUUUAAGCAAAGGAUAAACUAUGUUCACUCAUGUACCUUGGUUUAAUACUUGUGGUCAAUGUUAAGUUGUGAUACUGUAAUUGCAAACACUGUUUUUUAAGAAUUGACCUUCACUUUUCAGCAGAAUUAGGACAAUUAACAGACAAUAUACAAGAAUUUUUAGUAACAUGGUCUAGAAGAUUUGAAGAAUUUUUUUUUUAAUUGUAUUUUGAAGCAAAAAUAUGUCUGGCAGAUCUGAUUUUAGGGGGGCAGCAAGAGCAUGAGGCUGCAUUAGGCAGAAGUCUUCCAGUGUAGUGUGAGAAGCUCACUCCUGCGUUACUACCAGGGAUAGCCAGAACCUCAAAUGCCAUUAAGUCCAUGUGACUUAACUCCCUAGGAAGUCAUCACAUUAUAGUUCCCCAAGUGGUCAAGACUCUGACACAGGGCUUGAAUGGCUUCCUGUCGUUGGAACUGAAGAAUGCUUGAAAACAAAGCAAUAAAUCCUCUCCUUUGCUACAGACAAGUAAAUAAGAGAAACACUUUUGGGAGGCUCAAAGCAAAAUGUAGAAAGGAAGGUUAUUUAAAUUUAAACUAAAGAUUUUUGGGUAGGCUUCGUGUUCCAUAUCAAUCUAGGUAACAGGAUCCUACUUUGUCUCUUAUCAAUUUAAGAAAUGUUAAGUCUUUUGGAGCAGUUACAACAGACAUCUAUCUGUCAAUUAAAAUAAUAGUGAUUGAGGUAUUUUGAAAUUUGUCUGCUUCUAUUGAAUUCAUGCAAGUAAAUUACUAGCAAUUGAAGCUAUGUGUGUGGGUGGGCUUUCAAUCACUAAUUAAUCACAGCCAGAAAAUAGUAUCUCAUUUAAUGCAUUUUCUUAAUCUUGUAUUGUUCUGAUUAUUCCAGAAAAACCAAGAAUUAAAAAAAAAUACAAACUGUUUCUGUGUGGAAAAAAACCAAAUCCUACUUAAAUGGAAACAUGAACAAACUAGUAUUUAUGCAAGGUUGUAUGGGGCACUAUCCAGCCAGUCUCAUGGGAUGACACAGCAUUCCCAAUGUCACAUGUUCCAAAGCUUGUCCCACACAAAGUGGUGCCCAGGGCAGAGGAAGAACAGCGCAGCUGUUCCUUCUCUCCUUCAUGAAAUGUAGAUGGGACAGUAACCAAGUGAAGUGUACUGUGACUACUGAGUGUGAGGAGGAAGGCAGUUUAUCACCUCCAAGAUAGCAAUCCUGAAAGUGGUUGGUAAAUAUUUUGGAGAUGUCUCAGUAACUGAUGAAGAGAAGAUAGGUGAUUCUGCUCCUGUCGACAUUUUCUCUGACCUGCUAAAAGUGACACUUAUUUAAAGUUGCCAGUGGUACCACUUGUCUGAGUGCACCUGUACAAAGUCAAGCCUGACUUUCCCAUGUUAUUGCUUCUUAAAAAAGAACAGCAUUAAUGUAAAUAAAUGUUUAUGUAAAUACAAAAGGAAAGUUAAUUUUGUGUGAUUGUUAACAGCUACAAAUUGUAUUGCUCCUGACUUUAGCUCAAAUGCUUAGGUUACGCUUUCGUUUUUUUAAAUUUUGAAGUUUCAGACUUUUUUCUUCAGUGAAAGAAAAGAGAUCUCAGUGUGUCAGCAGAACUCUGAAUGAAAACUUAGCCUACAAGUCAGUUCCACUCUUGGACAAAAUUCCUCCUCUCCUAAUGCUGUGAAUGGCAUGGUGAAAGUAGAGUAACACGAAUCUUGGCAAACUAGUAUUUCCCCAGGAGGAGUCUGAGCCAUAAUGGGCAGAUAUAUAGUUUUUACAUUCUACUAAAGCCAAUAAACAAAAUUGUCAGGAUGGCUCAUCUUACAAGCAAAGAAAAAUUCUCAGUCAUCAGAGUCAUUGGAGCAGUGCAGUCUUUCCACAUGGUGGUACAGCAGCUAUGGCACUGCAAAGAUCUGCCUCACACCUUGAACUUCCUCAAGCAUCUGUGACCAAACCUUCCCUCUUUUGUUUUGCUAACUCUGUUGUACACCCAGGGCUAGUAUGAAUUUAGUGUUUGGAUGCCAUAGUGUCCUCAGUGUCUCAGACUGACUUCUGUACUAAUUCCUGCCAAGCAAAAAUUUCAUAGCUUUUUUUUUCUAUGCCACAGAACUGUUCAUUUUGUGCCAUUCCUUUGUAUUUUAGUACAUAACAUCACUGAAAGUAUGUAUCUUUCAGCACUCUAUGAUGACAAUGCUCAGGCAACUCAGAGAAAAACAGAAAACAAAAUCAGAAAUAAGGCCUUGAAAACAUAGCUGGAGAUACCCAGAGAUGGCUGUAUCUAAGAGCCAGAGAAGAAAUGUGAUAUAUGCAAAUGAAAAACAGUUUAAGCUGUUCCUCUGCAACUGUUUGACUUGCAUUUUGUGACUUGCAAAAAUUAUUUUCUGCAAAACAUUCCUUUAAAAGAGUUUUUGAAAAAUAUAUUGAUGCUUAAUAAGCUAGUUCACAAUAAUCAUAUUACUAAAGUUGCAUAUAGAAGGUGCAGGAAACCCCCAACCCUGUAAAGACAGAUGUGAUUUAUUCACCCAAAUUAGUGCUUGACUAGUCAUGGCAUGAAGAGAUGAAAAGCCUAUAUUUAAUUUUUUAUUCAUCAGGAACAUUUUGGGUCAUCUGAUUUGUUUUUACUUAAACGGGAGAGACUUUUUGGAAAGACAGUAAAUGAAUUUGAUUUAAAAUCUUAAAAAUUAACUCUUGUUUUACAGAAAAAAUACAAGAGAUUCUGUCAGCAGCCUUUUCUACAGAAAGAUGGACUUCUGGCCCAUAGCUGUUAAAUAAGAGGAAAAUUACUAUUAAUCCCAUCAGUUCUCAACACUAAAAUAAUUCCUAAUACUCUUUUCCAGUGAUUUUUUUUUUUUUUAAGUCAAAAGAAGCAUCUUUUUGGCAUUUUCUGUUUGCAAUCAAAUUCUCUGUGGUAGUCUUUAUGGUGACCUUUACACUAGAGAAGAAAUGCUAAAAAUCAUUAAAACUGAUAUUGCCACAUAAGAGAAUACAACUGUUUAACAGGAACCCAUUUGAAAAUGUUUAUUGUAAUUUUUUUUCUCCCCUCAGAGUAAAUCAAUAGCAUAAUACCCAGCUGCAUGAUAAUAUUGGCAAGCGAAGCCAUGAAUUUCAACUGCAAACCCUAAACACUGAAUGUGCUGUGCUUUUUAAAGAAAUCCCCUUUUGUAUGAGAUAUGUAAUACCCUUUUGUCCUGGAGCAGUUUGCAUAAUAAUAGUUUUCUUUACUUAUUUGUUGUCAUGUGAUGGAGCUGAAAAGUGAGCUACACAGCAACAGCAUAAAAGACAAUUUUCCAUUUUUCUCAAAUUUUUCAGAGAUUUUCUUGUCUUUUAGAUGUAAAUAUGUCUAACUAUCUUUGGAAAAGAUAUCUAGUUAUUAACAUUUCAGACCUAAUUGUUACUUAAUAUCUACCAAACUAUUUGUGCUUUUCUUUUUCAUAAGAAACAGGAACAUCUCCUUUGCACUCCCUCCUGAAGAGCCUCAAGCAUAUUGGGAAAAUUUGGCAUAUGAUCAACUGGUGUAAAUCAACAUAACUCUAUUCAAAAAUACCUCACUCAAGAUUUUAACAGUAGAACUACUUGAGCAGAGAAGUCAAGAAAAAUUUAUGUUACUAACUGUACAAUUUCUAUAAGUUGUGCAUGUGUUAGACUGUGCCACUGAGAUGAAAGGUAAUACCUGACUGAAGAGCAAUCUUAAAAAUACAGAUUUCUAGGACACAUCUGAGACUAAGCAUGAAAUAAAAUUUUAGGAAUUUUUCCAUGAGAUUUCCUAUGUAAAAUUUUUUUGAGAUUCCUCUUGGGCUCUGGGAUGUGUUCCAGUCUGAGUAGUAAGUAAGGAGCACAAAAGAGAUAGAAUUACAUUGAAAUGAAGCUCAAUCUUAGUCACAAUGAAAUCUAAGAGGAGGACUAGAGACAGGGGAAGGUCCUCUGCUAAAGCAUAAUAAACUAGCUAUUAUUCUAACUGCUGUUAUCAAAGGAUUUUUCCUUUGAAAUCAGUAGAAUUACGCCAAGUCACUCUAGUUGUGACUUUGGCCAUAAAAUUACACAGUUUUGAACCACUGGCCUGUAACCACUACAAAGGGACCAUUUCCAGGCAAUCCCUCCAAAGUAACAAAGGAAAGCUAUUUUAUUACCCAUUUUCUCAAAUUCAGAGUGCAGAGAGGGUUCAUAAUCUUACUAGAAAACAUUUAGAGGUUUGCAAAUUGAAAGAGGUCAAGGUUAGAUUAUUUUGGAGACGUUCACAAGGUUGAUAAACAUAACAAUAUAUGGUCAGAUCUGAGCACUGCAAAGAAUAUCCAGGUAGAAAAUUAAAGGCUCCAGAGCCCCCGUAAAUCUUUUUAUAGCUCCACAUGUUAAAAAAAGAGACUAUUAGAUACAGACAUCCUUCAAAACUUAGAUUAAUAAAUCAGCAUAUCCCUUAUGAAGCCACCAUAUAUUACUGUUUUCUAAAAUAUCUAAGAUCUGUCCUUGCCAAACAGCACAAUAAGAAAUGUUCACAGCUUCAACCAGUAGAAAUUAAUACCAGCGACAGAAAUCCUAUCACUGGAGCCAUGGAGGAAGACACACACUCCAGGUUGAAGCAGCCGUUGAUGCUACACGGAAAGACAAGCCAAGGAGACCUUGCUCAGGUUACCUUAUAUUCCAAAAAAAGAGCCCAGGACACCAGCUUGGAAUAAUUUGAAGUUUAUCUCCCCAUGAUACCUUCAAGCUUUAAAGCUUCCUGAGCACCUCUGCUACACCCCUCAAGAAAAUUAUCUGCACAAAGCUAUCCAAACACAGUAUAUCUGUGAUUCCAUUUCCCUCUGCACUGUGGAGCGGGAUUCAAGCCACCAGACCCAUCCUCCCUCCAAGGGGUAUCUUCUGUUAAUGGGCCACUGAGUCUCACUGCAUGACUGAUAAAAUUACAUCAUCCCAUUGGGAGAUGCUCCACCCAGCAGGAGGAGCCAAGCAUUCCUACCUGGGUAUAAUGAGAGACUCAGAACACCCCAGGCAGCCUUUCUCCACUGGAUUCCCAGAGGAAGACAGGACCCAUCUACACCACCACUGGACCUUCAGAGGAAAACUACACCCUUCUACAGGAUCACUGCUUUAGUAGAACCACAUCUGUCUCUCCAGGAGGACUGCAGCCACCAUUUAAUCGGACUGCUAACAGCACCCUGACCAACAGGGUGUCAUGUUGUAUCCUGACACUGUCAGCGUUUUUAUUUUGAACUACUGUGUUUUUAUUUAAAUUUUCCUAGUAAAGAACUGUUAUUGCUAUUCCCAUAUCUUUGCCUGAGAGCCCCUCAAUUUCAAGAUUACAAUAAUUUGGAUUAUAAAAAUUUAAACAUUUUUCCAUUUCAAGAGAAGUUUCUGCCUUCCUUAGCAGAGACCUGUCUUUUCAAACCAAGUUGCAUAUAAUACCUUUCAGGAAUCAGAUAACAGAACUUUGUAUCUGGGGGAUCUAACAAGAGGUGCCUCCUCCAUUUAGGUUUUCAUGACCCCACUGUGGAAGGGAUUACUUAAGUAGUUCAGGAUUCAAAAGUUAGCACAGUAAGUAAAAUCUUUCCGUUACUUUGUGAUUUACAGCUGAUUUUUUCCCUUGUUUACAAAAUUAGUUGGUUUUUUUACCAGUUAAAUCUCUUGUAGGCUUAUUGGGAAGGUGAUAAAAAUCUGAAAUUUGUCACUAUCACCAAUAUUUUAAAAUGGUCCCUUAAAAAGUGUGGAAUGGCUUGAUUCACAUCUUUUAACAAAUUCUGGAAGCUUUAACAUCAAUGCUAGAACCACUGGUAGCACUUCCCAGUGUGCAAAUCUUCUGUGAGUUCACAGCCCCUGUGCAGACCUCUGCAGAACUGGGGAGCAGAGCUUUUACCUCAUCCCUCCUGACCUAUCCUACCUCCUUCAGCUUCCAUCCCUCUUCUGUGCAGAGCUCAGGCCAGGAGAGCCAAGGAAGCACUUGUAUUUUUGUGGCAAAGUGCUGCUUUCAGGAACAUACAUCAAAGACACAGUUGAUCCCUUCUAUUUUGGUCCCUGUUACUUGCAGAAGAGAUCUGGAUCCAGACAAGUGCUGGGAGCCUCUUCUUCCACCUUCCUGGGAUACCAGGGCUGAACCAGGUCAGAUCUCCUGCCAGAAGUGAACAUGGGGAGUUUUGUUUAAGCUGGGAAGCUGAUAGUGUUGAACUCAUCUAUUUGAAUAAACCAGCUGGCUGUCCUCUUCCGUAUGUGAUGUAAAUCUAUAUGGUAUUGUGAAACUUUAUUUAUUUUAAACUUGCAAUAUUUACCAAAGCAAACCAAAAGGGUUCUUUCUAACUUCCAUAGCAUUUUUUCUACUGAGCUCUUUGUUAGAAAGAUAUGUUCAUGUAUAAUUAAAUGUGGCUUUCUUAAACCUUUGCAGUUGGUAGCUUUAUAUAUAUUUUGUUGUGCUUUGAGUACAAAGGCUAUAUUAUGCUUUUGUUGGCAUCCUUGCUGGUUAGAAUGCCAACUGCAUAAUUUUGUUCUCUGCUAUAUGUCAGAACUCAAGUGCCGAGGGCUCAACAGGUGGUGCUGGGAUAAAGUUCUGGCAAAUCAAAUAGGUAAUGUGGUUAUUUCUUUUGUCAAAUUAUAAUUGAAAACAGAGACAAGUAAAAUGAAACUCACAUUUUCCUGGUGCAAAAUAGAGACUAGAAUUAAACUGAAAUCAGUUUCCAUGACAAACACACAUUACUACUGAAGCUCGGUCUGUAAAUAAACAUGCAACACCUUAGUUUUGAUGUAGAAUGAUUUGUUCUCUGUAAAUUUAAACCUUAAGCAUCAGUGUUUGAAUGAUAACAGAAGGCUAGAGUCCUCCAUGAAUCUUCUGUCUUUCUUGUGCAUAUUUAGGAGAAAACGUGCCAAAAGUUUCAGAAAAGCUUUGAAAAGAUUUAAAUCUGAAAAGUCAGAGAAUUUGAGACA